rnacentral:rRNA from 1 species
UACGUAGGUGGCAAGCGUUGUCCGGAUUUCUUGGGUUUACAGGGUGCGUAGGCGGUUUUAUAAGUCAGUGGUGAACUACAACAGCUUAACUGUUGAGUUGCCAUUGAUACUGUAAGACUUGAGUACAGACGAGGUAGGCGGAAUUGACGGUGUAGCGGUGAAAUGCUUAGAUAUCGUCAAGAACACCGAUAGCGAAGGCAGCUUACUAGACUGUAACUGACGCUGAGGCACGAAAGUGUGGGGAUCAAACAGG